rnacentral:rRNA from 1 species
AGGAUAAACGCUGGCGGCGUGCCUAAUCAAUGCGAGUCGUGCGGACCUUCGGGUCAGCGGCGUCCGGGUGAGUAACACGUGACUAACCUACCCUUGAGUGGGGGAUAACUGAGGGAAACCUUAGCUAAUACCGCAUAAUACCCACGAGUCAAAGGAGCAAUUCGCUCGAGGAGGGGGUCGCGGCCGAUUAGUUAGUUGGCGGGGUAAUGGCCCACCAAGACGAUGAUCGGUAUCCGGCCUGAGAGGGCGCACGGACACACUGGAACUGAAACACGGUCCAGACUCCUACGGGAGGCAGCAGUGGGGAAUUUUGCGCAAUGGGGGAAACCCUGACGCAGCAACGCCGCGUGGAGGAUGAAGUCCUUCGGGACGUAAACUCCUUUCGAUCGGGACGAUUAUGACGGUACCGGAAGAAGAAGCCCCGGCUAACUUCGUGCCAGCAGCCGCGGUAAUACGAGGGGGGCGAGCGUUGUUCGGAAUUAUUGGGCGUAAAGGGUGCGUAGGCGGUUUGGUAAGUCUCUUGUGAAAUCUAUGGGCUCAACUCAUAGUCUGCAAGGGAAACUGCCGGGCUUGAGUGUGGGAGAGGUGAGUGGAAUUUCCGGUGUAGCGGUGAAAUGCGUAGAUAUCGGAAGGAACACCUGUGGCGAAAGCGGCUCACUGGACCACAACUGACGCUGAUGCACGAAAGCUAGGGGAGCAAACAGGAUUAGAUACCCUGGUAGUCCUAGCCCUAAACGAUGCUCAUUAGAUGUGGGAGGUAUCGACCCCUUCCGCGUCGCAGCUAACGCAUUAAAUGAGCCGCCUGGGGAGUACGGCCGCAAGGUUGA